UAGUCCACGCCGUAAACGAUGAGAACUUGAUUUGGCGGGUCUUGACCCCUGCUGAGUCGGAGCUAACGCGUUAAGUUCUCCGCCUGGGGAGUACGGUCGCAAGACUAAAACUCAAAGGAAUUGACGGGGGCCCGCACAAGCGGUGGAUCAUGUGGUUUAAUUCGAAGCAACGCGAAGUACCUUACCUGGGCUUGACAUUCUCGGACAAUCAUAGAGAUAUGACUUUAGUAGCAAUACUACCGAGGGACAGGUGCUGCAUGGCUGUCGUCAGCUCGUGUGGUGACAUGUUGGGUUAAGUCCCGCAACGAGCGCAACCCUUGUUUUUAGUUGUCUCAUUAAGGUGGACACUCUAAAGAGACUGCCGUGGUUAACACGGAGGAAGGUGGGGAUGACGUCAAGUCCUCAUGGCCCUUAUGCCCAGGGCUACACACGUGAUACAAUGGACGGUACAAAGGGCAGCGAAGCCGCGAGGUGGAGCUAAUCCCAAAAAGCCGUACCUCAGUUCGGAUCGAAGUCUGCAA
rnacentral:rRNA from 1 species